CCUACGGGAGGCAGCAGUGAGGAAUAUUGGUCAAUGGGCGCAAGCCUGAACCAGCCAAGUCGCGUGAGGGAUGACGGUCCUAUGGAUUGUAAACCUCUUUUGUCGGGGAGCAAGGCCCGCCACGUGUGGCGGGAAGGAGAGUACCCGAAGAAAAAGCAGCGGCUAACUCCGUGCCAGCAGCCGCGGUAAUACGGGGGAUGCGAGCGUUAUCCGGAUUUAUUGGGGUUAAAGGGUGCGUGGGCGGAAGGUUAAGUCAGCGGUAAAAUGUCGGUGCUCAACACCGGCCUGCCGUUGAAACUGGUCUGCUUGAGUGAGGGAGAGGUAUGCGGAAUGCGUGGUGUAGCGGUGAAAUGCGUAGAUAUCACGCAGAACACCGAUUGCGAAGGCAGCAUGCCGGCGCUCAACUGACGCUGAGGCACGAAAGCGUGGGGAUCGAACAGGAUUAGAUACCCCAGUAGUC
rnacentral:rRNA from 1 species